AAUGAUGGUUAUACCCAAGAUGUCUGAAC
rnacentral:piRNA from 1 species